rnacentral:rRNA from 1 species
GAUCCUGGCUCAGGAUGAACGCUGGCGGCGUGCCUAAUACAUGCAAGUAGAACGCUGAAGGAGGAGCUUGCUCUUCUGGAUGAGUUGCGAACGGGUGAGUAACGCGUAGGUAACCUGCCUGGUAGCGGGGGAUAACUAUUGGAAACGAUAGCUAAUACCGCAUGACAACAGUUAUUGCAUGAUAGCUGUUUAAAAGGGGCAAUUGCUCCACUACCAGAUGGACCUGCGUUGUA